UACGGGGGGGGCAAGCGUUGUUCGGAAUUACUGGGCGUAAAGGGCUCGUAGGCGGCCUACUAAGUCAGGCGUGAAAUCCCUCGGCUUAACCGGGGAACUGCAUCUGAAACUGGAUGGCUUGAGUUCGGGAGAGGGAUGCGGAAUUCCAGGUGUAGCGGUGAAAUGCGUAGAUAUCUGGAGGAACACCGGUGGCGAAGGCGGCAUCCUGGACCGGCAUUGACGCUGAGGCACGAAAGCUAGGGGAGCAAACGGG
rnacentral:rRNA from 1 species